CUUGAAUUGUGUCUUGUGUUAGGUGGCAACGAGGAGAGCAAGCGUUCUGGAAAUGCCGGUGCCAGAGUAGCUUGUGGUAUCAUUGGUCUGCAAGGAUAAACUAAUCACAUGAAGUUGAAAACGUGCUUGAUCAUACGACGGAGCUUUAGAAUUGUGGAAUAAAGUAGCUCCUAUUUAAACCCGUUUGGUUAUGUCUGGUCUGUACUGCUGAAUUCCUGUGUUUUGCUUGUAUCGUUUGAGGAUUAUGUGUGUAUCAGUUUGCGCUUGCAGUGUGAUUCUCGAAAAAUGUGUUGGCCUUUUCUCGGCUGCAUACUGUUGCUUGUAAAAUAAUAAGUCAAUUCUCAAUAAUCUUAGCUUAA